rnacentral:rRNA from 1 species
UACGUAGGGGGCUAGCGUUGUCCGGAUUUAUUGGGCGUAAAGAGCGUGUAGGCGGCCAUGUAGGUCCGGUGUGAAAACUCGAGGCUUAACCUCGAGAUGUCAUCGGAAACCAUUUGGCUAGAGUCCGGAAGAGGAGAGUGGAAUUCCUGGUGUAGCGGUGAAAUGCGCAGAUAUCAGGAGGAACACCUGUGGCGAAAGCGGCGCACUGGACCAUAACUGACGCUGAUGCGCGAAAGCUAGGGGAGCAAACAGG